rnacentral:rRNA from 1 species
GACGAACGCUGGCGGCGUGCUUAACACAUGCAAGUCGAACGGAAAGGCCCUGCUUUUGUGGGGUGCUCGAGUGGCGAACGGGUGAGUAACACGUGAGUAACCUGCCCUUGACUUUGGGAUAACUUCAGGAAACUGGGGCUAAUACCGGAUAGGAGCUCCUGCUGCAUGGUGGGGGUUGGAAAGUUUCGGCGGUUGGGGAUGGACUCGCGGCUUAUCAGCUUGUUGGUGGGGUAGUGGCUUACCAAGGCUUUGACGGGUAGCCGGCCUGAGAGGGUGACCGGCCGCAUUGGGACUGAGAUACGGCCCAGACUCCUACGGGAGGCAGCAGUGGGGAAUAUUGCACAAUGGGCGGAAGCCUGAUGCAGCAACGCCGCGUGCGGGAUGACGGCCUUCGGGUUGUAAACCGCUUUCGCCUGUGACGAAGCGUGAGUGACGGUAAUGGGUAAAGAAGCACCGGCUAACUACGUG